rnacentral:rRNA from 1 species
GCCAGCAGCCAUAUUACCCUGCAGCUCACACCUGGCAGCCCACUGCAGUUAAGAAGGUGUGAGCCUGGUCAGUACCUGGGUGAGAGACCUCCUGGGGAAAAUUAAGGUUGCUGCUGAAG